rnacentral:rRNA from 1 species
GUGUCAGCCGCCGCGGUAAGACGAACCGAGCGAACGUUGUUCGGAAUCACUGGGCUUAAAGGGCGCGUAGGCGGGCGGUUAAGUCUGCGGUGAAAUCCUCCAGCUCAACUGGAGAACUGCCGUGGAUACUGGCUGUCUCGAGGAAGGUAGGGGCGUGUGGAACUAUCGGUGGAGCGGUGAAAUGCGUUGAUAUCGAUAGGAACUCCGGUGGCGAAGGCGACACGCUGGACCUUUUCUGACGCUGAGGCGCGAAAGCCAGGGGAGCAAACGGGAUUAGAAACCCGGGUAGUCC